rnacentral:rRNA from 1 species
CCUACGGGCGGCAGCAGUGGGGAAUAUUGCACAAUGGGGGAAACCCUGAUGCAGCGACGCCGCGUGAGUGAAGAAGUAUUUCGGUAUGUAAAGCUCUAUCAGCAGGGAAGAAAAUGACGGUACCUGACUAAGAAGCCCCGGCUAACUACGUGCCAGCAGCCGCGGUAAUACGUAGGGGGCAAGCGUUAUCCGGAUUUACUGGGUGUAAAGGGAGCGUAGGUGGCAUGGUAAGCCAGAAGUGAAAACCCGGGGCUCAACCCCGCGGAUUGCUUUUGGAACUAUCAGGCUGGAGUGCGGGAGGGGCAGGCGGAAUUCCUGGUGUAGCGGUGAAAUGCGUAGAUAUCAGGAGGAACACCGGCGGCGAAGGCGGCCUGCUGGACCGCGACUGACGUUGAGGCUCGAAAGCGUGGGGAGCGAACAGGAUUAGAUACCCGGGUAGUC